GGCCUCCAGGGCAGCCCCUCCCCCUGAGAGGACCUGUGUGGCAGUUGCUAAUUUUCUGGCCACGAGCAUCUGUUUGGGGUUGUUUGUUCUGCAGAAGGAAACAGAAGAUUGCUGUGUAUCAGAAUCCUGCUCCUCCUCCUCCUGCACCACUACCGUCCCCCCCCCCACACACACACUGCAGAAAAGCUGCUGAGCAAACAGAGAAAUCAAGAUGAUUAUACGCUGCUGGAAAACCGCGUGCUUCCGCCUGGCUGCGUCCCCCUGCCAAACUGUUAUGUAAGCCGUGGCCCCACUCAGGCCUGGAACCAAACAGAGGUGCCAUUGACAGCCUGUCCGUGACCUGCUCAUCACCCACGGCUUUCCCCACAGCCUGUCUCACCUGGAGCGAACCUGCCCCGGGGAGGGGAGGUCCCGACAAACUGACAAGCUGCUUUUACAAGUGUUUUGGGAUUUCCCUCUCUCCCUUCCCAGCCAGUUCAGAGGCAUGGGGUGGGUCAGGACUAGGAGUUUACUUUGGCGGGAUUCCCAGUGACUAAGACGUUUUAUACUGGAAAACUCCAUCUGACAAUCCGGGGGAGGUGAGUGUCUUUCACCCUCUGAAGCGCCUAAGUCACUUUGGAUGUUUAGAUACCAGAGUUGAAGAGGUAACUGCUGGAGUCCGAGGUGACCUCCAGGCCAGACCACACUGCUCUGAUGACCAGUACUUAUUUCUAUUUAGGGAUUCUGGGCAUGUUCCCCAGCCCUAAACCACCUAAAUAGACUUAGAAGAGCUUUUCCUUUGAUGUGUCAGUGACUUGAAUGAGCUAAAGUCUCAGGCUUUUUUUCUCUUUCUUUCUGCAUCACAGGGUCAGGAAUACUCAAUGGCUCCUACAGCAAGUGCACUAAAGGUUUUCAAUGUUAAUUACAACCUCUUGGCAUGGUUAUAAUUCUAUCUGCAGUGAGCUCCCGGCUCUUUUACUGCUGACUGUGUUCAGGAGUUUACAUAUUCAUGUCUAUUCAACACUGGGAUUCCAUUCCUCUCCCUUUUGCAGCCGUCACUGACCACAUCCCGCUUGAGAGGCUCAGAUCUCGAGUAAAAGGGCCUGAACUUUGGUGCCAGAUAAAAUCUGUUCUGGAGACAGAGCUUGCUCAUUCAGAGUCUAUGUGACCUUGUGCAGUAGUUUCGACCUUGCUAAGUCCCUGGCUCUACUGGUUCCCCUUAAUUUUCCUACCUCAUUUUUCCAAGCACAAGGCUUCCAAGGUCUGCUGCUGCCUUUGGAGAAUGGCUGACCCUGUCCACCUCCCUCCAUUCCAUCUUGGUAGGUAAGCAGGUCCAGCACGCAGAAUCCGUUGUCAGUUGGCCAGAUUGCCCCCUUGGAGUGAGGUGUUGGACUGAAAUCUCAGGCUCUGGCCCCACUUCUGUCUUUCACCUCUUUUCCUAUUAACCCUGGAGGGAGCUCCUCACGAGCCGAGGGGCCAGCGUUGUUGCUCAGCUCUUUCUCACUCUUGAUGACCUGGCACCAGACCUAUAGUUGAUCUCCUCCCUGGAAGAUGAGCAGCAAAUUCUUACUCCUUGCACAGGCAUUUUGAAAAAGUUCAAACCAGAGAAGGAAUUGCCUUUUCCAGAUCUCAGUCCACAGAAGGGCUCAUCAGUAGCCCCCUGAAUCGUAAUAAGAGAAGGGAUUUAUGGGGAUACCUCACAAGCACUCUGGCAGGGAGAGAGAGCAAACUAUACUGAGAACUACUUUUUCUAAGUAUUACAUUGUAACCACACCAUGAAUGCAAUCAGCUGCACCCUCAUUGUCUGAAUGUAAACAGCAACCUCAGAUCCUAAGUUGCUUCUUAUAGGGAAGCUUGGCUCCCUGCUCUGCUUCAAGAUGACCUUUGGCUUGGAAACAAAAUGUGGGUCUGAAUUCAAUAAAGCUUGGAUUCUUUUAUAUGACUCAGCUCCCCCGGUGGAGAGGAAUAAAAUCCCUGCUCCUGGAAUCCAGUGGCCUCUGUGGGUGAGCUCAUCCAGCCCCUGAUGGUUUUCUAGAUAAUCAUUAAACUCAGGUUGACCAAUCUCAUUACAUUGUUCUCUAAAAAAAGACAGCAGUGGUGUGGCCGGGAUGAGGCCCAGGAAAGCAAGCCUUUUUGAGCGCCUUUCUCACUCUGCCUACCUGCUGGCUUCCUGCCUGGCGUACAACCUCCAGCAGGACUUCAGAUCUCCACCUGGAGAAAGGGGAUGAGAGUGAUAAGUUGAAUAAUCUUGACCAAGGGAGUUGAUUUCUUCAUAAAACAUGCUCUCCUUAAUCUGGCUGGGGCAGGAUAGAUAACAGGGAAAAGCAGCCCAGAGAAAACACCAAAGCUGCAUCAACCAUGCCCCCCAAAUGGGCACACGAUCACAAGAUCAGCUCCUUGGACGCCUCUUCUUCAACCCCAGGCAGUAUGACCGUAAUGCUUCAGUUGUUGAGAGAUGGAUAGAGGGGCCCAAGUCAGCAACCUGCCUUUCAAAUGUGCCCGUUUCCCAAAGAUAUAGAUAAUGAAGUAGAAAAGUAGGUGACAUAUUUUUGGUCAAUCAUGCAUGUUUAUCGAAAUAAAGAGCAACAGGAAUCACUGAUAUCUCUCUCUAUAUAUAAAUGUAUGUAUAUCAUAUAUAAUAGACUUAUAUAUGUGUGUACACACACACACCCAUAUAUAGAUUUAGAGAUGCACAAACACUUCAGUGUACCAUUUUGGAACUUCUGCAUUAAACUUUACUCUUUAGUAAUUAUUGCUCAUUCUUAUCUGGGCCAUGAUCUUAUGUACAGCAAAUCAGUUUUUUCUGGAUGUUUCUAAGAGUAAAGAGUCUUCUGGAAUAGGUAUGUGACUUUGGAGAAUGAGGUUUUUUUAUUAUUUUAUUUUAUCUUAUUUUACUUUUUUGUCUUUUUGCCGUUUCUUGGGCCGCUGCCGCGGUAUAUGGAGGUUCCCAGGUUAGGGGUCUACUGAGCCACGACGGGAACUCUGAAUGAGGUUUUUUUAAAGCAAACUUUAUUUCUUUUUUAAAACGGUUUUAGAUUUGCAGAAAAACUGCAAAGAUAGUCCAGAGUUCCCAUGUACAUCUCACUUAGUUUCCCCUAUGAAUAACAUCUUAUAUGAUUAUGGUAUAUUUAUUACAGUUAAUGCACCAAAAUUGAUACACGAUUAUUAACAUCCACACUUCAAAGAAUGAGAGUUUUACUUGGCAUUAAAAUUUUUAACUGAAAUUCUUAACUGAGUUGAGAGGUAUCUUAACUCAGGUUUUCACAUCACAGAAGUUCUUUCUGACCUCUGAGCUCCCCCAUCACCUCUUAGAACAGUCACUGGCUGCGGCUUUGCUGCCUUCUUUCUGCAAAAGAAAAAAAUGCUUUCUGAUCUAAGAACUUGGCUACCCACUGUGAAGCAACUCUCAGACUUCUUGUGUUUGUUCUUCUCAAAAAUGUUUUAAAAUAGCAGCAGAUGGAGUUCCCGUCGUGGCACAGUGGAAACGAAUUUGACUAGGAACCAUAAGAUUGCAGGUUUGAUCCCUGGCCUCGCUCAGUGGGUUAAGGAUCCAGUGAAGCUGUGAGCUGUGGUGUAGGUCGCAGACGCGGUUGGGAUCCUGUGUUGCUGUGGCCGUGGUGUAGGCCAGCAGCUGUAGAUCCGAUUAGACCCCUAGCCUGGGAACCUCCAUAUGUUGUAGGUGUGGCCCUAA
rnacentral:lncRNA from 1 species